rnacentral:rRNA from 1 species
GAUGAACGCUGGCGGCGUGCCUAACACAUGCAAGUCGAACGAAGCACCUUUCCUGAUUCUUCGGAUGAAAGUUUGGUGACUGAGUGGCGGACGGGUGCGUAACGCGUUGGUAAUCUGCCCUGUACAGGGGGAUAACAGCUAGAAACGGCUGCUAAUACCGCAUAAGCGCACGGGGAGAGAUCUUCUUGUGUGAAGAGGUCGGGUGGGACAGGAUGGGGCCGCGUCGGAUUAGAUGGUUGGCAGGGGAACGGCCUAGCAAGGCAACGUUCAGUAGCCGGUAUGAGAGGAUGAACCGCCACAUUGGAGGUGAGACACGGUCGAAAAUCCUACGGGAGGGAGGAGAGGGGAAUAUUGCACGAUGGGGGAAGCCAUGAUGAAGCAACGCCGGGUGAGUGAAGAAGUAGUUAGGUAAGUGAAGCUGGAUCAGCAGGGGAGAUAAUGACGGUACCUGACUAAGAAGCACCGGCUAACUACGUG